rnacentral:piRNA from 1 species
UUAGAUGACCUCUCAGAUGGUAUGACAAUAU